rnacentral:sRNA from 2 species
ACGUCGCAAUCUCCGAAUCUUAUAAAAUCGAGUGGGGGAACCAGUUUUCUGGGGUGAAUUCUUUAUUUAAAGAAGGGGCAACUUGGAUGUCCUAACCCGUCAGCUAACCUCAUAGGAGUUACCAAGCGUAUAA